CCGUUAAUUUAUUGUCAUUUUAAUAGUGAUUUUUCGUCUUCCAUGGUUGAAACCAGACGCAGCUCCUCCUCUUCCAAACGUGCCCUCUCCUCCCCUCCUCCCACCACCGCCAAACAAUCCAAGGGGAAAAACUCAAAAGCAGUUUGCGCAAAGCAAGCAAAGCGACUAAGCAAUGGAGGAGGGGAAGCCAUUGUCAUCGCUAAAGACCAACAACGAACCCAAGAAUUUGUUUACGGUGCUCACCCCGAUCAACGACGACCUUCUCCAGGCUACCGGCUUUUUCCUUCGCAUCGGCGUCAUGCGUUAGCAAAUCCUGGAACCACCUCUGCAAUCGCAUACUCCUCUCUCACCCCAAGCUCGCCUCUGCUCUCUCUCUCAACCCCUCUCCCCGAAUUGUUGUAAAAGAGGUUCUUGAGAGGUGCUCUCCGAGCCCAUUUGGCCGCAUUUUGCUAUCGCAAACAUUGGUAGUGGAUUCAGUUUGAUUGAUGCUUUUCGGCUUGUAUGAAUUCUCAGCUUCAGCAAUAUCUUUAUCACUUAUUGUAUUUUCUUUUUCAUUAUUGUUUCUCAAACUCUGACUCUUUAGGUAAUAUAAUUUCGAAACUUUAGCUUUUGCAUGUGCUCUUGAGUGUGUUUGAAAUCUGGGUUUUUGUUUGAGUUGUGCAUUUAGGUGGUUUUAUUUUUUGUUCUGGGGUUGGUGGUGGAUUUAGGUGGAGCUGUCGUGGAUGUUGAUAAAUCAAAGGUGGUCGGCACUGCACUACGUUCGAAGAAGCAUCCUACAAAAAAGCUGCACUGACCAAAUCGAGUUCCAAAGCCGCUUGGGGAAAGCUUCUUUCCCAGUGCUCUCAGCAAUGUCCUCAUAUCCAGUUUCAAGUCAACCCCACGGUGCCUAUCCAUCUCAGCAAUUUACGGCAGGUGGUCCUUUUGGGAAUGCACUUGUGCCUCCUGUGCAUUCCCAAAAGGUAACAGAUAAUUAGGUGCAGAUGUGCAUUGGGAACUUGAUAAAAAAUUAGGUGCAGAUGUGCAUUGGUAACAGAUAAUUAGGAUGCAUGCUCCAAUCACAGAGCAUUGGGAACAUGCCUUGGGCCACAAAUCCACCUGUGCCUCCUGUUUCUUUGGCAGAGAAGACAAUAUAUGGUGCAGAUGCAGAGUAUGAGAAGUUCAUGGCAGAGAUGAAAUAAGUUAGCCCCUUUUCUGCAAAAAGUCAAAGAGGCUGAUGUUUCAUGGAGAUCUUGUGAACCUGAUUUCUUACCUCUUGCCAUGAUUUUGUUGGAAGUUGGGACUCACAUCUUUAACCUUGCUGUACUGUUAUGACAUUUGCAGAAACUUGGACGAAGUUCAGAUCGUGGAGUGUUGUAUUGGAGAAGCCUCUUUAAAGCAUGUUGUUAUGAUUAUUAUUAUUGUUAAUUUGCGUGCUCUCGUAGGACUCUUUUUGUGGUGGUUUCUUAUUACUUUCUAGAGAAUGUUUGUUUUUCCAUUUUUCUUUCUUUCUAUCAGCUAUUUGAACUUUUUGCAGUAUUAUGUCACUGAUUUUUUUUGUUAACAUUUUCAUUUGACUUUUUGGGUUCCUAA